rnacentral:rRNA from 1 species
UACGUAGGGUGCAAGCGUUUAAUCGGAAUUACUGGGCGUAAAGCGUGCGUAGGCGGUUCUCCAAGUCCGUUGUGAAAUCCCCGGGCUUAACCUGGGAAUGGCAGUGGAAACUAGGGGACUUGAAUCUGGCAGAGGGGGGUGGAAUUCCACGUGUAGCAGUGAAAUGCGUAGAGAUGUGGAGGAACACCGAUGGCGAAGGCAGCCCCCUGGGCUGAGAUUGACGCUGAGUGCACGAAAGCGUGGGGAGCAAACAGG